UACGUAGGGGGCUAGCGUUGUCCGGAUUUAUUGGGCGUAAAGAGCGUGUAGGCGGCCAGGUAGGUCCGCUGUGAAAGUCCGAGGCUCAACCUCGGAAUGUCGGCGGAAACCCUCUGGCUAGAGUCCGGAAGAGGAGAGUGGAAUUCCCGGUGUAGCGGUGAAAUGCGCAGAUAUCGGGAAGAACACCCGUGGCGAAGGCGGCUCUCUGGAACGGUACUGACGCUGAGACGCGAAAAGCGUGGGGGAGCGAACAGG
rnacentral:rRNA from 1 species